rnacentral:rRNA from 1 species
GAUGAACGCUGGCGGCGUGCCUAAUACAUGCAAGUCGAGCGAACAGACGAGGAGCUUGCUCCUCUGACGUUAGCGGCGGACGGGUGAGUAACACGUGGAUAACCUACCUAUAAGACUGGGAUAACUUCGGGAAACCGGAGCUAAUACCGGAUAAUAUAUUGAACCGCAUGGUUCAAUAGUGAAAGACGGUUUUGCUGUCACUUAUAGAUGGAUCCGCGCCGCAUGAGCUAGUUGGUAAGGUAACGGCUUACCAAGGCAACGAUGCGUAGCCGACCUGAGAGAGUGAUCGGCCACACUGGAACUGAGACACGGUCCAGACUCCUACGGGAGGCAGCAGUCGGGAAUCUUCGGCAAUGGGCGAAAGCUUGACGGAGCGACGCCGAGUGAGUGAUGAAGGUCUUCGGAUCGUAAAACCCUGUUAUUAGGGAAGAACAAAUGUGUAAGUAACUAUGCACGUCUUGACGGUACCUAAUCAGAAAGCCCCGGCUAACUACGUG